CAAUAGCGUAUAUUUAAGUUGUUGCAGUUAAAAAGCUCGUAGUUGGAUUUCGGAUGGGAUUUGCCGGUCCGUCGUUACGAUGUGCACUGGCCAGUCCUAUCUUGUUGUCGGGGACUAGCUCCUUGGAUUCACUUCCUGGGACUAGGAGCUGACGAGGUUACUUUGAGUAAAUUAGAGUGUUCAAAGCAAGCCUACGCUCUGAAUACAUUAGCAUGGAAUAACACGAUAGGACUCUGGCUUAUCUUGUUGGUCUGUGAGACCAGAGUAAUGAUUAAGAGGGACAGUCGGGGACAUUCGUAUUUCAUUGUCAGAGGUGAAAUUCUUGGAUUUAUGAAACACGAACUUCUGCGAAAGCAUUUGUCAAGGAUGUUUUCAUUAA
rnacentral:rRNA from 1 species